AGUGAACGCUGGCGGCAGGCCUAACACAUGCAAGUCGAGCGGCAGCGCGGGGCAACCUGGCGGCGAGCGGCGGACGGGUGAGGAAUGCAUCGGAAUCUACCCUGUCGUGGGGGAUAACGUAGGGAAACUUACGCUAAUACCGCAUACGACCGAGAGGUGAAAGUGGGGGACCUUCGGGCCUCACGCGAUUGGAUGAGCCGAUGCCGGAUUAGCUAGUUGGUGGGUGAAGGCCCACCAAGGCGACGAUCCGUAGCUGGUCUGAGAGGAUGAUCAGCCACAUUGGGACUGAGACACGGCCCAAACUCCUACGGGAGGCAGCAGUGGGGAAUAUUGGACAAUGGGCGCAAGCCUGAUCCAGCCAUGCCGCGUGUGUGAAGAAGGCCUUCGGGUUGGUU
rnacentral:rRNA from 1 species